rnacentral:lncRNA from 1 species
UCAUUUUGUUGAUUUGGUUGAGUGCUGGUUGUAGAAUGUUGUAAAGAACCCAUAAGAUAGCCGGGAUCAAAGGAAGUAAUAAGGCCAAACCCCUGUUGUCUCCCUCAGCUAUAUCGGCUAUUUGUUGAGCUGCAAAUGCGGCGUCACAUGAGCUAAGAGUAGAGAAAAUGGCGCCGGCUAUAGCUGUUCCGGUUAAAGGAAUGGAGGAUAAGUUUGAGGGAUUUUGAGAAGAUUUUGAAGUUAAGAGACCUUUUGGGAGAUUUUGGAUGGAGAGAAGGGAGAUGGGUUUUGGCUUUGAUUGGUUGUUGAUAGAUGCUUUGGCGAAGCAUUUGGCAUUGAGCAUGGCCAUGGUAGCUAUGGUGGCUGCCAUUUCUUGAUUUUGUUGGCUAGAAA